GACCCGUUAGCUCAGCUGGUAGAGCAAUUCCCUUUUAAGGAAUGGGCCGUUGGUUCAAAUCCAACACGGGUCA
rnacentral:tRNA from 7 species